GACGAACGCUGGCGGCGUGCUUAACACAUGCAAGUCGAACGGAAGGGCCCUUCGGGGUACUCGAGUGGCGAACGGGUGAGUAACACGUGGGUGAUCUGCCCUGCACUUUGGGAUAAGCCUGGGAAACUGGGUCUAAUACCGAAUAGGACCACGCGCUUCAUGGUGUGUGGUGGAAAGCUUUUGCGGUGUGGGAUGGGCCCGCGGCCUAUCAGCUUGUUGGUGGGGUAAUGGCCUACCAAGGCGACGACGGGUAGCCGGCCUGAGAGGGUGACCGGCCACACUGGGACUGAGAUACGGCCCAGACUCCUACGGGAGGCAGCAGUGGGGAAUAUUGCACAAUGGGCGCAAGCCUGAUGCAGCGACGCCGCGUGAGGGAUGACGGCCUUCGGGUUGUAAACCUCUUUCAAUAGGGACGAAGCGCAAGUGACGGUACCUAUAGAAGAAGCACCGGCCAACUACGUG
rnacentral:rRNA from 1 species